ensembl:ncRNA T23B3.9 ncRNA
UAGCGUGGGUGGUUACUUCAGUCCAUGGUCUACUGAAUACGAUGCUGAUGUCGUCUACAAUUUCUAUUCAAUAGCUUACAGUAUAAAAUGGACGUUUAACCAAGAAAAGUCAACGAUAUGGUUUUGGGAAAAAUUAGUUAUUCCUGGGAUUUAAAACAUAAUCUCUGCUCAAUCCGUGUGAAGACGCUUUCUGUGACGUAGAAAAUACUGUAAUCAAUUAACAAUAUCUGUUAAGCAAUACCGUAUAAAACUACUUACUAU